AACGAACGCUGGCGGCGUGCCUAACACAUGCAAGUCGAGCGUGAAAGUUCCUUCGGGAAUGAGUAAAGCGGCAGACGGGUGAGUAAUACAUAGGUAAUCUACCUUCGAGCUUGGGAUAACCCCGCGAAAGUGGGGCUAAUACCGGAUAAGACCACGUGGCUUAAGUCGCGCGGUCAAAGGUGGCUUUUUCUUCGGAUUGAGCUAUCACUUGAGGAUGAGCCUAUGGCCUAUCAGCUUGUUGGCGGGGUAAAAGCCCACCAAGGCUAUGACGGGUAGUUGGUCUGAGAGGACGACCAACCACACUGGGACUGAGACACGGCCCAGACUCCUACGGGUGGCUG
rnacentral:rRNA from 1 species